rnacentral:rRNA from 1 species
CCUACGGGUGGCAGCAGUCGAGAAUCAUUCACAAUGGGGGAAACCCUGAUGGUGCGACGCCGCGUGGGGGAAUGAAGGUCUUCGGAUUGUAAACCCCUGUCAUGUGGGAGCAAAUUAAAAAGAUAGUACCACAUUAUGAAUAGACUGCUAACUCUGUGCCAGCAGCCGCGGUAAUACAGAGGUCUCAAGCGUUGUUCGGAAUCACUGGGCGUAAAGCGUGCGUAGAAGGUUUCGUAAGUCAUGUGUGAAAGGUGCGGGCUCAACCGGAGGAUGGCACAUGAUACUGGGAGACUAGAGUACAGGAGGGGGAACCGGAAUUCUCGGUGUAGCAGUGAAAUGCGUAGAUAUCGAGAGGAACACGGAUGGCGAAGGCGGGUUACUGAACAUUAACUGACACUGAGGCACGAAGGCCAGGGGAGCGAAAGGGAUUAGAUACCCUGGUAGUC